AUCUAAAACCUUUCCGGAGUAUCAAUUGGAGGGCAAGUCUGGUGCCAGCAGCCGCGGUAAUUCCAGCUCCAAUAGCGUAUAUUAAAAUUGUUGCAGUUAAAAAGCUCGUAGUUGAAUUUCUGCUGCAUCCGUGUCAUUCCUAACUGGUUUGUCACUGUUGUGGCUUUUUCUGGUGGUUGUGCUUCGGCUARAUCUCCAGAUUGUUACUUUGAGAAAAUUAGAGUGCUUCAAGCAGGCUUUUGCCUUGAAUACUUUAGCAUGGAAUAACUAAGUAGGACUUUGGUUCUAUUUUGUUGGUUUAAGAGCCAAAGUAAUGAUUAAUAGGAACAGUUGGGGGCAUUCGUAUUUAACUGUCAGAGGUGAAAUUCUUAGAUUUGUUAAAGACGAACUACUGCGAAAGCAUUUGCCAAGGAUGUUUUCAUUAAUCAAGAACGAAAGUUAGGGGAUCGAAGACGAUCAGAUACCGUCGUAGUCCUAACCAUAAACUAUGCCGACUAGAGAUUGGAGGUCGUCAGUUUGAACGACUCCUUCAGCACCUUGAGAGAAAUCAA
rnacentral:rRNA from 1 species